CACUAUAUGGAUCAUCUUAAUUACCUUCUUGAUCACAUCUAAAUUCCACCCAUGUUACUCUCUCAGCUUUGCGGAAGGAGCUCUCUGACCUUUCAAAGAGGCUGGAGAACCUCCCAGGGAAAAGAAGUUUGAGAAGCUCCAGCCAGAGGAACAGUAAGGUGUGCAGUCCUUACAAAGCAGACUAAGGACAGCAGUCUCAGAGGGAACUAUCCAAGAUUUCUGGAUCCUUCCUUAGAUGCAGACUCACAGGAAUUCAUACAGCAAGAGGAUAGGAUGCUUCUGCAGAAGGGCCUGCGACUGGGCAGACAACCAGGACGGAAGACCUGAGACCUACCCCUCCACCCUGGCCCGCACACAGGGACCUUGUCUCCUAGGAGAAAACUGUCUGCUGGAAACCUUGUGUAAAAUAAUAACUGGGCAACACUGAGGUAAACAGUUUUCAUGAUCCUUGACUUCCCUUAAAGGAAAAUAUUACGGAAUUUCAGCAGCAAACAUUAUCUGGUUCCUACUCAAACCCCAUCUCCAAGAAAACGUGAGAGAGAAUCUAAAAGUUCUGUUCAAGGCAAGAAGAAAUUCCAAACUCGAACAUUUUACUCCAACAAUUUGGAUAUACCAGCUGCUCCAUCACUGGACUGGAAACCUAAAUAUCUUGGCUACACAUUAAAAACGUGCUGGAAUGUACAUAUGCUAUGGAAAACUUCAGAACUGACCUUCUCUUAAAAGCAAACAAAUCUAGAGUGCUUUUGUUAUAGCAUCAUACUCUAAUGAGACCUAAAAGGAGACCACUAAGUACUAAAUACAGGUAUUUACCAAACAAACAGUGUUGAUAUCUACUAGCCGAACAGCCCUAA